GAUGAAGAACGUAGCGAAACGCGAUAGGUAAUGUGAAUUGCAGAAUUCAGUGAAUCAUCGAAUCUUUGAACGCACAUUGCGCCUGCCAGCACUCUGGCAGGCAUGCCUGUUCGAGCGUCAUUUCAACCAUCAAGCCCUAGGCUUGCGUUGGAGCCCUGCGGCUGCCGCAGGCCCCUAAAAGCAGUGGCGGGCUCGCUAUCACACCGAGUGCAGUAGAUUACUCUUCGCUCAGGGCGUGUGGCGGGUUCCAGCCGUGAAACCCCCUACUUCUCAAGGUUGACCUCGGAUCAGGUAGGAAUACCCGCUGAACUUAAGCAUAUCAAUAAGCGGAGGA
rnacentral:misc_RNA from 1 species